ACUGGGAUAGCUCAGUUGGUAGAGCACAAGGCUCUUAGUCUCAGGGUCAUGGGUUUGAGCCCUACAGAAACUUCUAAGUA